rnacentral:rRNA from 1 species
UACGUAGGGGCAAGCGUUGUCCGGAAUUACUGGGCGUAAAGCGCACGCAGGCUGAAUUAUAAGUCGGUAGUAAAAGGCGGGGGCUCAACUUCCGUAUAUCUAUCGAUACUGUAAAUCUAGAGUAUGUGAGAGGGAAGCGGAAUUCCCGGUGUAGCGGUGAAAUGCGUAGAGAUAUGGAGGAACACCAGUGGCGAAGGCGACUUCCUGGUCUGUAACUGACACUGAGUCACGAAAGCGUGGGUAGCAAACAGGAUUAGAUACUCCGGUAGU